rnacentral:rRNA from 1 species
AGUGAACGCUGGCGGUAGGCCUAACACAUGCAAGUCGAACGGCAGCACAGAGGAGCUUGCUCCUUGGGUGGCGAGUGGCGGACGGGUGAGGAAUACAUCGGAAUCUACUUUUUCGUGGGGGACAACGUAGGGAAACUUACGCUAAUACCGCAUACGACCUACGGGUGAAAGCAGCGGAUCUUCGGACCUUGCGCGAUUGAAUUAGCCGAUGUCGGAUUAGCUAGUUGGCGGGGUAAAGGCCCACCAAGGCGACGAUCCGUAGCUGGUCUGAGAGGAUGAUCAGCCACACUGGAACUGAGACACGGUCCAGACUCCUACGGGAGGCAGCAGUGGGGAAUAUUGGACAAUGGGCGCAAGCCUGAUCCAGCCAUACCGCGUGGGUGAAGAAGGCCUUCGGGUUGUAAAGCCCUUUUGUUGGGAAAGAAAUCCAGCCGGCUAAUACCUGGUUGGGAUGACGGUACCCAAAGGAUAAGCACCGGCUAACUUCGUGCCAGCCGCCGCAGUAAAAC